rnacentral:rRNA from 1 species
GCCAGCAGCCAUAUCACCCUGUAACUCACCACUGGCAGCCCACUGGAGCUCAGCAGGUGUGAGCCUGGUCAGUACCUGGACGGGAGACCUCCUGGGAAAAAACUAAGGCUGCUGCUGGAA